CGCUGUUCAAUUUGAGCUCUCUCUCUUACUUGUAAUAAACAUCUUGUGCUGUAUUAUUUUAGAAUCUUUCCAACAUAUACUGUUUAUUGCUUGAACUAAUUUCUUUAUGCCCAGGUUUCUUGGGAAUAAUAAAUUAACUGGUACCCUUCUUGCACAAAAGAGUUGCACAAAAGAGUACAUCUCUCCUGAAUAUGUCUAUGAUACAGCACAGAGUUAAUCCAUUUUGCCAUAAGUAUUCUUGACAGCAGCAUAUUUGUCACACAACCCUGCUACCACAUGCUAGAAAAUCAUGUAUUAAGCAAGACAAAGAUCCAAGAAUACAUGUAUGUGUAAAUGUAAAUGUAGAGAUGUAUACAAAAAAAGCCAACAUUAGGGAACACACUAGGGGAGGUAAAUAUUAAAUAUUUGGACAUACACUAGAUUUCUGUUUGCAUAUUGAUAUGCCUGUGAUAAUUUAUUUAUUUAUUUAUUUUUAAUUUUAUUUAUUUAUUUUUUCUGAGAGAUCUGGCAAAGCGGCAGAAACUAAAGUUGCCUAAGGGAUGCGGGUAUGAGUUCCAGAUGCAAUAUGGAUCAAUUGGCUGGGCUGUAGGUGCGACUCUUGGAUAUGCACAGGCUGCACAAAAUAAGCAAGUGAUUGCUUCCAUUGGUGACGGUAGCUUCCAGGUGACAGCACAAGAUGUAUCAACAAUGCUGAGAUGUGAACAGAGGACCAUCAUCUUCCUUAUAGAACCCAGGAAUUUUUGUU